GAUGAACGCUAGCUACAGGCUUAACACAUGCAAGUCGCGGGGCAGCAUGGGGGUUGCUUGCAAUCCCCGAUGGCGACCGGUGCACGGGUGAGUAACGCGUAUCCAACCUGCCCUUCACCACGGGAUAACCCGGCGAAAGUCGGACUAAUACCGUAUGUUGUCCAUUGACGGCAUCCGAUUUGGACGAAAGGCUUGGCGGUGAGGGAUGGGGAUGCGUCCGAUUAGCCAGACGGCGGGGUAACGGCCCACCGUGGCUACGAUCGGUAGGGGUUCUGAGAGGAAGGUCCCCCACACUGGAACUGAGACACGGUCCAGACUCCUACGGGAGGCAGCAGUGAGGAAUAGUGGUCAAUGGGCGUAAGCCUGAACCAGCCAAGUAGCGUGCAGGAUGACGGCCCUAUGGGUUGUAAACUGCUUUUAUGCGGGGAUAAAGUGGCCCACGGGUGGGCUUUUGCAGGUACCGCAUGAAUAAGGACCGGCUAAUUCCGUG
rnacentral:rRNA from 1 species